GACGAACGCUGGCGGCGUGCUUAACACAUGCAAGUCGAACGAAGUGGCGAACGGGUGAGUAACGCGUAAUCCACCUGCCCUUCAGAGGGGGACACCAGUUGGAAACGACUGCUAAAACCGCAUAAUGAAGGAGGGGGUGGCGUGUGAUUAGCUAGUUGGAGGGGUAACGGCCCACCAAGGCGAUGAUCAGUAGGCUGGCUGGGAGGGUGAACGACCACAUUGGGACUGAGACACGGCCCAGACUUCUACGGGAGGCAGCAGUGGGGAAUCGUCCGCAAUGGACGAAAGUCUGACGGAGCAACGCCGCGUGAUUGAUUACGGCCUUCGGGUUGUAAAGCUCUGUUAAUCGGGACGCGGUACCGGAAUAGAAAGCCACGGCUAACUACGUGCCAGCAGCCGCGGUAAUUC
rnacentral:rRNA from 1 species